AGUUCGAUGGCGUAGCGGCUACCGCGCCUGCCCUGCAUACCCAGUACUUGGUGUCGAGGAGUAGGGCAGGAGGUCCCAAGUUCGACUCUGGGUUGAACCG